rnacentral:rRNA from 1 species
AGAGUUUGAUCCUGGCUCAGGAUGAACGCUGGCGGCGUGCCUAAUACAUGCAAGUCGAGCGAACGGACGAGAAGCUUGCUUCUCUGAUGUUAGCGGCGGACGGGUGAGUAACACGUGGAUAACCUACCUAUAAGACUGGGAUAACUUCGGGAAACCGGAGCUAAUACCGGAUAAUAUUUUGAACCGCAUGGUUCAAAAGUGAAAGACGGUCUUGCUGUCACUUAUAGAUGGAUCCGCGCUGCAUUAGCUAGUUGGUAAGGUAACGGCUUACCAAGGCAACGAUGCAUAGCCGACCUGAGAGGGUGAUCGGCCACACUGGAACUGAGACACGGUCCAGACUCCUACGGGAGGCAGCAGUAGGGAAUCUUCCGCAAUGGGCGAAAGCCUGACGGAGCAACGCCGCGUGAGUGAUGAAGGUCUUCGGAUCGUAAAACUCUGUUAUUAGGGAAGAACAUAUGUGUAAGUAACUGUGCACAUCUUGACGGUACCUAAUCAGAAAGCCACGGCUAACUACGUGCCAGCAGCCGCGGUAAUACGUAGGUGGCAAGCGUUAUCCGGAAUUAUUGGGCGUAAAGCGCGCGUAGGCGGUUUUUUAAGUCUGAUGUGAAAGCCCACGGCUCAACCGUGGAGGGUCAUUGGAAACUGGAAAACUUGAGUGCAGAAGAGGAAAGUGGAAUUCCAUGUGUAGCGGUGAAAUGCGCAGAGAUAUGGAGGAACACCAGUGGCGAAGGCGACUUUCUGGUCUGUAACUGACGCUGAUGUGCGAAAGCGUGGGGAUCAAACAGGAUUAGAUACCCUGGUAGUCCACGCCGUAAACGAUGAGUGCUAAGUGUUAGGGGGUUUCCGCCCCUUAGUGCUGCAGCUAACGCAUUAAGCACUCCGCCUGGGGAGUACGACCGCAAGGUUGAAACUCAAAGGAAUUGACGGGGACCCGCACAAGCGGUGGAG